rfam:Neotoma lepida isolate 417 scaffold_903, whole genome shotgun sequence.
UGGCUCAGUGGUUAAGAGCACUGGCUGCUCUUCCAGAGGACUUGGGUUCAAUUCCCAG